GAUGAACGCUGGCGGCGUGCCUAAUACAUGCAAGUCGAGCGAACAGAUGAGGAGCUUGCUCCUCUGACGUUAGCGGCGGACGGGUGAGUAACACGUGGAUAACCUACCUAUAAGACUGGGAUAACUUCGGGAAACCGGAGCUAAUACCGGAUAAUAUAUUGAACCGCAUGGUUCAAUAGUGAAAGACGGUUUUGCUGUCACUUAUCGAUGGAUCCGCGCCGCAUUAGCUAGUUGGUAAGGUAACGGCUUACCAAGGCAACGAUGCGUAGCCGACCUGAGAGGGUGAUCGGACAAACUGGAACUGAGACACGGUCCAGACUCCUACGGGAGGCAGCAGUAGGGAAUCUUCCGCAAUGGGCGAAAGCCUGACGGAGCAACGCCGCGUGAGUGAUGAAGGUCUUCGGAUCGUAAAACUCUGUUAUUAGGGAAGAACAAAUGUGUAAGUAACUAUGCACGUCUUGACGGUACCUAAUCAGAAAGCCACGGCUAACUACGUG
rnacentral:rRNA from 1 species